rnacentral:rRNA from 1 species
UACGUAGGGUGCAAGCGUUGUCCGGAAUUAUUGGGCGUAAAGAGCUCGUAGGCGGUUUGUCGCGUCGAAUGUGAAAACCUGGGGCUCAACCCCGGGCCUGCAGCCGAUACGGGCAAGCUAGAAUUCGGUAGGGGAGACUGGAAUUCCUGGUGUAGCGGUGAAAUGCGCAGAUAUCAGGAGGAACACCGGUGGCGAAGGCGGGUCUCUGGGCCGAAAUUGACGCUGAGGAGCGAAAGCGUGGGGAGCGAACAGG